ACUGCUCAGUAACACGUAGUUAACAUGCCCUCGAGUCUGGGAUAAUCUCGGGAAACUGAGGCUAAUACCAGAUGGGCAAGGGGUACUGGAAUGUCCCUUUGCUGAAAGUCCGCGCUCGAGGAUUGGACUGCGGCGGAUUAGGUUGUUGCCAGGGUAACGUCCUGGCAAGCCGAUAAUCUGUACGAGCCUUGAGAGAGGAAGCUCGGAGAUGGAUUCUGAGACAAGAAUCCAGGUCCUACGGGACGCAGCAGGCGCGAAACUUUCCCAAUGCACGAAAGUGUGAGGAAGGGAUCCGGAGUGCUUUCCCUACUUUAGGGGAAGCUUUUGUGGAGUGUUGAAAGCUCCAAGAAUAAGUGGUGGGUAAGACGGGUGCCAGCAGCCGCGGUAAUA
rnacentral:rRNA from 1 species